rnacentral:lncRNA from 1 species
GAAAUCAUCUUCAUUUUUUAGAAGUAAAAUUUAAAUCUCACUGCUAAAAGUAACAAUAAUUUAUAAUCAUUUUAAAUAAUUCCUCACAAUUAAUAUCUAGAAAUUUGCAUUAAAAAAAAAUAGCGGCAAGUUAUUAGAUUUGUCCACAAAAGUGAAAUAUUUAGAUGUAAUAUCUAAAUGGCCACAAAUAAUUUGUCACAAAAGUAGUGUCUGCUAGUUUUAUUUGCUAAAAUAUAUUUAAAAAUUAGUAAAAUUGAUAAUUUUUUUU